rnacentral:rRNA from 1 species
ACCAGCUGCGAUAGUACGUUGAAUGCACAAAUUACCCACGGAUCACUAAAGUUAAGCAACGUUGCGCGUGGUUAGUACCUGGAUGGUGACCAUCUGGGGAAUCGCGUGCUGCUGGGU